rfam:Chloroflexi bacterium GWC2_70_10 gwc2_scaffold_9419, whole genome shotgun sequence.
GCCGGAGUGGCGAAAUCGGCAUCCGCGCCUGCCUCAAGAGCAGGUGGGCCGCAAGGCCCGUGAGGGUUCGAGUCCCUCCUCCGGCA